rnacentral:tRNA from 1 species
GGCCAUAGCUCAGCUGGGAGAGCGCCUGCCUUGCACGCAGGAGGUCGGCGGGUUCGAUCCCGCCUGGCUCCACCAA